UACGGGGGGGGCAAGCGUUGCUCGGAAUCAUUGGGCGUAAAGGGUGCGUAGGCGGCUUGGUAAGUCGGGUGUGAAAGCCCUGGGCUCAGCCCGGGAAGGGCACUCGAAACUGCCGAGCUGGAGUGCCGGAGGGGAGAGUGGAAUUCCUGGUGUAGCGGUGAAAUGCGUAGAGAUCAGGAGGAAUACCGGUGGCGAAAGCGACUCUCUGGACGGCAACUGACGCUGAGGCACGAAAGCGUGGGGAGCAAACAGG
rnacentral:rRNA from 1 species